GUUUAGGGUUUAGAGUUGAUGAUUUAGGAUUUAAAGUUGAUGUUUUAAGUUUAGAUUUAGGGUUUAGGGUUUACGUUUAGGGUUUAGAGUUGAUGUUUUAGGGUUUAGAUUUGAAGGUUUAGGGUUUAGGGUUUAGAGUUGAUGUUUUGGGUUUUAGGGUUUAGAGUUGAUGUUUCAUGGUUUAGGGUUUAAAAUUGAUGAUUUAGGGUUUAAAGUUGAUGUUUUAAGUUUAGAUUAGUUAACCAUAU
rnacentral:lncRNA from 1 species